GACGAACGCUGGCGGCGUGCUUAACACAUGCAAGUCGAACGGAAAGGCCCUGCUUUUGUGGGGUGCUCGAGUGGCGAACGGGUGAGUAACACGUGAGUAACCUGCCCUUGACUUUGGGAUAACUUCAGGAAACUGGGGCUACUACCGGAUAGGAGCUCCUGCUGCAUGGUGGGGGUUGGAAAGUUUCGGCGGUUGUGGAUAGACUAGCGGGUUAUCAGCUUGUUGGUGGGGUAGUGGCUUACCAAGGCUUUGACGGGUAGCCGGCCUGAGAGGGUGACCGGCCACAUUGGGACUGAGAUACGGCCCAGACUCCUACAGGAGGCAGCAGUGGGGAAUAUUGCACAAUGGGCGGAAGCCUGAUGCAGCAACGCCGCGUGCGUGAUGACGGCCUUCGGGUUGUAAACCGCUUUCGCCUAUUACGAAGCGUGAGUGACGGUAAUGGGUAAAGAAGCACCGGCUAACUACGUG
rnacentral:rRNA from 1 species